AUUGAACGCUGGCGGCAUGCCCUACACAUGCAAGUCGAACGGCAGCACGGGUGCUUGCACCUGGUGGCGAGUGGCGAACGGGUGAGUAAUAUAUCGGAACGUACCUUAUUGUGGGGGAUAACGCAGCGAAAGCUGUGCUAAUACCGCAUAAUCCCUAAGGGGGAAAGCGGGGGACCGUAAGGCCUCGCGCAAUUAGAGCGGCCGAUACCUGAUUAGCUAGUUGGUGAGGUAAAGGCUCACCAAGGCAACGAUCAGUAGCUGGUCUUAGAGGAGGAUCAGCCACACUGGGACUGGGAAGCGGCCCAGACUCCUACGGGAGGCAGCAGUGGGGAAUUUUGGACAAUGGGGGAAACCCUGUUCCAGCAAUGCCGCGUGAGUGAAGAAGGCCUUCGGGUUGUAAAGCUCUUUUGUCAGGGAAGAAACAGCAGCUCUAACACAGUAUGCGAAUGACGGUACCUGAAGAAUAAGCACCGGCUAACUACGUGCCAGCCGCCGCCGUAA
rnacentral:rRNA from 1 species